ACGUAGGGUGCAAGCGUUAUUCGGAUUUAUUGGGCGUAAAGCGCAUGCAGGCGGUCAGGUUAGUCUGAUGUGAAAGCCCUCGCCUUAAUCGAGGAAGUGCAUUGGAUACUGCCAGACUAGAGUGCAGGAGGGGUGAGCGGAAUUCCAGGUGUAGAGGUGAAAUUCGUAGAUAUCUGGAGGAACAACAGCGGCGAAGGCGGCUCACUGGACUGUAACUGACGCUCAGAUGCGAUAGCGUGGGGAGCAAACAG
rnacentral:rRNA from 1 species